GCCGCGCGUGCGCGCUCCCGGGGAAAGAAAAAAGCACAAGAAACUUGCACCGAUCCCCUUGGUCUGACCGUUUUAACGCCGGUUCCCUGGAGCAAAUCAAAGCAGAGAAUUCUGAUGAGACCAAUGGUCAGCCUUAUAGAAGAUUACAUUGAGCAUAAAGAUUUUUGAAGAAUCAUUUAAAGAGAUUAAAAAAAUACAAAAGGUAAUAGAAGUAUUU